rnacentral:rRNA from 1 species
CCUACGGGAGGCAGCAGUGAGGAAUAUUGGUCAAUGGACGCAAGUCUGAACCAGCCAUGUCGCGUGCAGGAUGACGGCCCUACGAGUUGUAAACCGCUUUUGUCCGAGGGUAAACUCCGAUUCGUGUAUCGGGUUGAAAGUAUCGUACGAAUAAGGAUCGGCUAACUCCGUACCAGCAGCCGCGGUAAUACGGAGGAUCCGAGCGUUAUCCGGAUUUAUUGGGUUUAAAGGGUGCGUAGGCGGUUUGAUAAGUUAGAGGUGAAAUGGCGGGGCUCAACCCCGAAACUGCCUCUAAUACUGUUGGACUCGAGAGUAGGUGCGGUAUGCGGAAUGUAUGGUGUAGCGGUGAAAUGCUUAGAGAUCAUACAGAACACCGAUUGCGAAGGCAGCAUACCAAACUAUAUCUGACGUUGAGGCACGAAAGCGUGGGUAGCAAACAGGAUUAGAUACCCGUGUAGUC